AUGACGUCAUUUCCGCAAUUAUUUAAUAGGAAUUGAUUUGACUUACUUCCGUUUGCCGCCAUUUUAGUCACCUGGGGGCGAGCUUGCUCGGAGUUCUUCAUAGAGAGCUCACCAGGAGGCCUUCUUGGGAUGCUGUGCAUCGUCUCUGCUCAAUAAUACAAGUUUUAUUGUUUUGUAAAACUUGUACUAUUAUUCGGCAUGUGACGAUGCACAGCAUCUGGUGAGAGACUUGUUUAUUAGCUCCUGGUGACUACUUACCAAUGGCGCUAUGUGAUGAAAGUUUUCGAGUUUCUGUAACAGAACUAGAUUAGAACAUGAUUAAUUUCAGGGUAUUAACAUGUUUUGUUCUAAAUGCCCAGUGAGAGCAGCACUAAUAUCACAAAGUAGGAGGGUUUGUACUUUUGUAUGUUUGAAAUGAAUAAACUGGAAAGCUACUGAACUGAAUUCAGAAAUUCUUUCCUCAUUAAAAUGCAGAUUGAGUGUGUAUUGAUAUAAUUUGCCCGUAUGGCAGUAAGAUUCAUGCGAGUCAUCAACAUAAGUUUAUAAUACAGGCGUACGAUGUGAUUGAAGAGUAUCCAACAUGCAUGCUUUAGAUCUGUUGAUUGAAAGUUAUUAAUUAAAUAAUAUGUUAUUUGGUGUAUCGGUCGUAGAUCAGUUAAUAAAAGUGUCUGCCUUAUAAUAUUGCUAUUAUUGUUCUGCCUACACCAAUAUCUCAUCAAAUAAUUUCAUCUAUGGCUAAAUAUCACCCAAAUUAAAGAUGCCAGAACGAAGUCAACAAUGCCAGGAGAGGUUUUAAAUCCAACAACCUUUAUCUGUACACUUUUAUACUGUUUUUAUCCAUGUAGAUUCCUAGCAUUACUUGGUGUUGAAAAAAAAAAAAUAAAUAAAUAAUGUGUUAUUAUAUUCCGCUGUUCGCCUCUGCUCGCCUGAUUCCAGUAACUUACGCAACCGUAGCAAGGGCAUACCUAUGUUGUUUUUUGGGAUUUGCUGUCAUUUUUCCCAGUUGUUUGUAUGAUGCCGUAACGGUGCCGAACUUACUCGUAGGUCAAGGUUUAUUAACUUAAUCUUGAAAUUAUUCAGGUGAGACUAUGUUUUGUCAUGUCAGCAGCUGAUAUAGAUGGUAGGAGAAAAAUAUACAUAAGCUAGUCUACGAGAAGCCUCGUAAAGGUCACAUUUUAGAUACCUACUGUUGGGUUUAAGGCCUUUAUCAGGAAGUGAAAUUGGUUAAGCUUUUAUGCUUAGUAAGAAAAUUAAAGUUAUCUUUAAUAUAGUUUUAGAUUAGUAAUACCAGCCCCCCUAGACAAGUAGCACUUUUUGAUCGAAUCGAAAAUUGGAUACGUUAUAACUUCGUAUAGAAAAAAGAAGGCUAAUCGACCAUCCUUCGACUGGUUUGCGAUUUUAAAGUAAAUUUUGUCUAGACCCACAGGGCAUAAAGGUAGUAGAAGAGUAGAUAAACGAUUUAGUCUAGCAAAUAAAUCUUGCUGUCGAGCUUCAAGAGGUAAGUAUAUAGCUACGACUGUUUUCCUUAGGCCAUUAGUUUAACCACCAAGGCCAGGUUAUUUUAUAAGUUUUUAAAGUGGAUUUUUGCCAGGUAUGUUUUAGGAACGAUACCUUAUUACCCCCAACUCAACAUACUAAAAAGUUACAUGUUACCUGAUCCUGACGUGGAGGUCACCAUGUGGUAAGAACAUGGUGGAGAUUCUGUAUUUUGAGGGUCGGUCUCGAACCCUAAGAAAAGAGCUAAGAAAAGCCAGAAAGGUCACUUCGAGGUGCUAAGCAGGUACCUUUUGCUGUAGUGAGAAACGGGACAGCAAAGAUUUAGCCUAGUUUACCACCAUAGCCACCCUGGUUGAAGUCGUUGCAAAGGCUGCUGGUGAAUCUCUGUGGGGUCUCUGGAUAUCCAGUUUCCCGAACUUUUGGAAUAUUUACCUUUGGAUUUGAACCCAGGAGAUGCCACUAAGUAGGUUGUUUUCCCCGUAAAUCGACCUAGAUCGUCAGAUAAAUUUGAUUGAAUCGACCUGGGAGAUAAUAUUUUGCGCUGCCAGAGCUAUUUUUACCCGACUGAACCGAAAGGGGGUGAUGUUUUUCAAGUUGAAAAGUUAGAGAGACAGUUCCAAUAGAGGCUCUGAAUGUGCCCCUUCCUCCCUUAGUUUCGAGUAUAGGCUAUGCUUUGAUUGUCCGAUAGCAAAAUUAGUGAACGCACAUGAAAUGAAUGAAAGAAUGAGAAAUCCCCCAUCGCUGAUUAUGAUUUCUGAUAUUUUGCAGACAUCCAGAUUGUUGUUAAGAGAUGCUGAGCUGGAGUCUUGUGUAUUGAAUCGGUUGUGUGGGGUCGAGUUGUAAUGUGACGAGCCCUCACUGGAGAUCAAGCUUACCAUUAUAGGCACUUGUUGAGUCGUAUAGAUUUCGUAUUUACCGACUAAAUCCUUAGAGAUGACGACUUGUUGAAACUGAGUUCACGUAAUUGACAAGGUUUAAAGUGUUCCCGAAGAUAAAUGUUACACACUAACCUUCCGUUCUAGUAGUUGCUGUCUCGUCUGGUUUGUCAAAGGUGACGAGGUUUAGUAAGUAGUUUGUGAUUGUAUUAAUGUUUUUCGGUAUGCAGUAGAGAACGAGAGAUUGAUAAUUUUAGGGUACCUUGACAAGACAUGCGGAGAGGCCGGCGGUGUCUCUGUGAUCGGUAUCUGCAUCCAGAUAUAGAAUUUAGCAUUCAACUACUUCAGAUCAGAUCAAUACUUACAUACUUGUAUCUACUGAUUAGAACGUUUAAUAGAAUAGGUUGUUUGGUCUGUCCUUCUUGCGAAGGAAUAUUGUGAGGAGCAGGCUCAUGCUGAGCGGUGCCUUAUCUGGUAAUUUCAGCACCUGUUUUAACAGGAUUUCGGUUUAUUUGGUCAGCGUUAGACAGUCAAGAGUGUUAAAACGCUGAAUAAAGCACGGCGUUGAAGGGACAAGCACCGGCUUGGAGGUGAAUGGCAGACGCAUCCCUGGAACCAUUGUCAGGUAACAGGUUGACCUCCGCAGUCUGAUGACGCCUGCCACUGCCUAAGAUACGCUCAAAGGCAGCCUCCGUAGAAUUUGCUGAGUGGAAAGUCACUUGACUUUGCUAUUCUUAUUUGGUCAGCGCUAGACAGUCAAGAGUGUUGAGACGCUGAAUAAAGCACGGCGUUGCAGGUGCAGGGGCAAGCACCGGCUUGGAGGUGAAUGGCAGACGCAUCCCUGGAACCAUUGUCAGGUAACAGGUUGACCUCCGCAGUCUGAUGACGCCUACCACUGCCUAAGAUACGCUCAAAGGCAGCCUCCGUAGAAUUUGCUGAGUGGAAAGUCACUUGACUUUGCUAUUCUUAUUUGGUCAGCGCUAGACAGUCAAGAGUGUUAAGACGCUGAAUAAAGCACGGCGUUGCAGGGGCAAGCAUCGGCUUGGAGGGACUGAUUUGGAAUCCUUGGCUUUUUGUUCUAAAUCAAAGGGAGUUAUUUUGAGGCUUAUGUAUUUGCUUUAAAGAUAAUAAGAUGUGUAGGUAAAGGUUACUUACUUAUUAGUAUUUGACGAUUUGUAAGAACUAAUUUAAUCAGUCUAAGCAAAUAAAGAUAUUAUUAUGUUUUGAUUUUGCUUGAAGUGACCGGCUAGAGAACCAAGGUCGGAUUAUUUUUUUGAUAUCACCAGUACGAGCACAGGGUGAUUUUGCCGAACAAAAAUCCAGCACUGGGAGGGUGCUCCUCGCACAAUGCUUAUUAGGAAUUUUAGCCAGAAUACGCUCGUGACAUGUUCAAAUUCAAAUUCAAAAACGUUUAUUGCAUUUCACAUUACAAUUUAUAUGUUGUUGCAAAAUAAAAGUAUACAUGUUCGAUGCACUUAGCACAUUUUUUCAUACUUAUUAAGCUUCUUGAUUUGCAAAAAACAUUAGAAUUUAAUAAUUCAAGCUGUAAGCUGGCUCAGUGUUGGGGUUGGCCACCCAGUCUACUAAUAGUUGUAGUUUAAAUGGGUAUUUAUUAAGAAACUCGUACCAGAAAGAGUUAUCGUUCGAUUGUGGUGAUGCUAACAACGUAUUUUGAUUGGUAAUGUUUGCGAUUGGGGCUGACGGGGCCGCCGUUAAAAUUGGAUAAGAUGGUUGUGGGUACGUUAUUCAAUCUAUUAAUACAAUAUAGAGAUUCGCGAGAAUGCUCAUUUGAUCGAAAAGAGUGUUAAAGCUAUCAGAAUCCCACGUACCUCGUUUCAUCCGUUUUGAAUCUCGCCGGGGUCCGAGUUUCUCCGGUAUCCGACGCUCUGGGUCCACCUGCUCGUCGUCCGGAAGACACUCGUCCCCUUUUGCGCCAACCACCAUCACGUACAUGUCGUUCGUGGUCACACACGCGCGGUCAAUUGCACUUUUUAAUUUUAAA